rnacentral:misc_RNA from 1 species
AAACCCUCACACCUGCGGUGUCAAAAUCGUGGGCCGUGGACUUGGACCGUGCCGUAGUUGGCUCGUCCUUUGAAAUGCAUUAGCUUGCGCUUGUUAGAGUGCUCGGCAUGGUGUGAUAAUUAUCUGCGCCGUCGCCUUAGGCCUCUUCUGUGUGUGCUGCUUCCAAUCGUCCCUCGUGGACAACAUAACCAAAG